CAAUUAUUGGUUAGAUUAAGGAAAAAGGAAUAUUACAAGCCUCCCCCGACUAUCAAAGUUACUAAGCAGGAUUUGAGGUAAUGACGGGGAUGACGGAAUGGCGUAGCAGUGAGGAAUAAUUACUACUUAAAUUAUGCAGACUCUUACUAUUAUGUAUUCUAAGCUUAAGAACAUAAAUUUGUGAACCUUAACUAUAUUUCACCUAGUUAUUUAUGCAUUUCUAAGUUA